UAUAUUUGCCCCGCUAAUGGUGCCUUAAGGGCUUAAUAGGGAAUCCGGUGCCCUACCAAGGAAGUCCGGAACAGUACCCGCUGCUGUAGUCCCGAAAAUAAAAGUCCCCGAAACCUACGCCACUGUUGGAAAAAUGCUAAGCAUGAGUACGAUGGGAAGGCCUCGGGGAUGGGAAAGUCAGAAGACCUGCCAAAAGCAACUGCUACAA
rnacentral:ncRNA from 2 species